rnacentral:tRNA from 1 species
UGCGGAAUUGUGUAAUGGUAGCACAGCAGACUCUGACUCUGUUUGUCUGGGUUCGAAUCCUAGUUCCGCAGCCA